rnacentral:rRNA from 1 species
UUUUAUUUGAGAGUUUGAUCCUGGCUCAGGAUGAACGCUGGCGGCGUGCCUAACACAUGCAAGUUGAGCGAUUUACUUCGGUAAAGAGCGGCGGACGGGUGAGUAACGCGUGGGUAACCUACCCUGUACACACGGAUAACAUACCGAAAGGUAUGCUAAUACGGGAUAAUAUAUUUGAGAGGCAUCUCUUGAAUAUCAAAGGUGAGCCAGUACAGGAUGGACCCGCGUCUGAUUAGCUAGUUGGUAAGGUAACGGCUUACCAAGGCGACGAUCAGUAGCCGACC